CCUUUUAUUAAGUCACGGUCCUGCUUUUAGCCUUGUUGAGUCCGGUCUGAAGCAGUUUAACAAAAAUUAAACGACAUUGGGCUCGAGAGUAAGUUCAAGCAAAUCAACGAUCAUGACCCACCUCAAACCCAAAGUCAAUUUCCAACCAAUUCAUUAUCUGCCUUCAUAUAAAAUUUAUAAAUUUAAAACAAGAAAAAAAUAAUAAUGAAUAUAAUAAAAUUAAUAAAAAUCAGUGGAUUUACUGUUCAUAUGAACAGUGUCCCGUGAAAACACUGUUCAUAUGAACAGUGUUACAAAAAAAAUUAUUAUAUAAAACUAAGUUCACUGUUUAUCUUCUUCCCCCCUCCCCCGCAUGGCAUCUCGGCCGUCCACCUUCCUCCCGUCGAUUCCACGGCUUCCUCCGCGUCUCAGCCGAGAUCCAGCAUCACCGCGUCAGCUCCGUGCCAGCCGCAAUCACCGCGUGCCAUCCGCCGCCCGUUCCACCUCCCAGCAGUCAGAAAUCAGCCGAGCUUCACCCGGAUUCGUUCCAAGAAGAGAUCCCAUCGAUUCCCAGCUCCGAUCCCUGUGAUUCAGCCUUCACCGCGAUCCCAGCCGACUGCAUUCAACGAGCCGGUAACCCAGCUCCUUCCGGAUCGGCACCGUUUCGAGCUCCAUCCCCAUCUUCGCCCGAGAUCAUUCCCAGCAGCCGGUAACCCAG
rnacentral:lncRNA from 1 species